rnacentral:rRNA from 1 species
CGUAGGAUCCAAGCGUUGUUCGGAUUUACUGGGUGUAAAGGGUGCGCAGGCGGGCUGGCAAGUCAGUAGUGAAAUCUCGGCGCUCAACGCCGAAACGUCUUUUGAUACUGCCAGUCUUGAAUAAGCGAGAGAUGCGUGGAAUUCCGAGUGUAGCAGUGAAAUGUGUAGAUAUUCGGAAGAACACCAGCGGCGAAGGCAGCGGGUUGGCGCUUUAUUGACGCUCAGGCACGAAAGCAUGGGGAUCAAACAGGAUUAGAUACCCUGGUAGUCCAUGCCCUAAACGAUGAUCACUUGAUGUCGGCCGCAAGGUCGGUGUCGGAGCUAACGCGUUAAGUGAUCCACCUGGGGAGUACGCUCGCAAGGGUG